UUCUAUUUUUGAUUACAUGAUGUAAGUAUUUUAGUUGUAAAAGAAUGUGAAUUAUGAGAAUUGCUACUUUUUAGACUCCUAGGCUCAUGUUUUUGACACUUGUACUUGUGGCUUAAAAUUUGAAUUCAUGUUAUAUUGGGUUGAGAGUCUAUGAUGAUCCUAUGUGAGUUGAGCAUAUGCCAUGUGUGAUGUGAGAUUUUGUAUAUUCCUUGUUGCAUGUGACGUAUAGAACUUGCAUGAUGUGAGUAUAAAGAGAAAUUAGGAGUGUGGGUUUAGGAGAUGAUACAUGCAUUUCUUUGAUAACCUUGCUUUUACCUUCU
rnacentral:lncRNA from 1 species